rnacentral:rRNA from 1 species
UACAGAGGUGGCAAGCGUUGUUCGGAAUUACUGGGCGUAAAGGGCGUGUAGGCGGUCUGUUAAGUCUGGCGUGAAAGCUCUCGGCUAAACCGGGAGAGGUCGUUGGAUACUGGCAGACUAGAGGACGGUAGAGGCGUGUGGAAUUCCGGGUGUAGUGGUGAAAUGCGUAGAGAUCCGGAGGAACCCCAGAGGCGAAGGCGGCGUCCUGGCUCGCAUCUGACGCUCAGACACGACAGCAUGGGGAGCGAACGGG